rnacentral:lncRNA from 1 species
AUGCAUUUGUGCUAGAUUAGCUACAUGAGUAGGGCUUCUUUUAUGCUUCAUGUUUGGUCUAAGUUUUAAGCCAAUCAAAGUGGUGGUAUUGUUCUAAGAUGUGCCAUUUUUCCUUUGCUAUCUUCUAUCCUUCCACAUUGAAUUUUAGUACUUAAUUGUCUAAUUUGGUUGUAUAUCCCAUAAGAUCGUGCAUGACUCCUAUUUUCAAAUUUAAUAAAAUUUAUUAGAAUAAAUAAAUAAAUAAAUAAAUAAAAAUCUUUAGAUUUAUUUGAUUUCUUUUCUAGAGAGAUUUGAGUGUUAUAAUACAUGCAAAACCUUCAAACCUAAGAUUAUUUUGUACUUUCUUUUCCUAAGUCUUUUAUUUUUAACUUCUUGAAUUUAUUAUCAUCUUCUUUCAUAUCAUGAAAC